UACGAAGGGGGCUAGCGUUACUCGGAAUGACUGGGCGUAAAGGGCGCGUAGGCGGUUUGCUUAGUUAGGCGUGAAAUUCCUGGGCUCAACCUGGGGGCUGCGCUUAAUACAGGCAGACUAGAGUGUGAAAGAGGGUCGUGGAAUUUCCAGUGUAGAGGUGAAAUUCGUAGAUAUUGGAAAGAACACCGGUGGCGAAGGCGGCUCUCUGGACCACUACUGACGCUGAGGCGCGAAAAGCUAGGGGAGCAAACAGGG
rnacentral:rRNA from 1 species